AGCAUUUUAAUAGGUAACCUGAGAGCAAGAAGAGAAAGAAAGAGAGAAGAGAGAAGAGGACGACAAGGCCAAGAAGGAGCAAGAAGAGAAAGAAAGACAGGAGAAAGAAAGAGAGGAGAGAGAAAACCAAGACAAGGCCAAGAAAGAGAAAGAAGAGAAAGAAAGACAGGAGAGAGAAACAGAGAAGAGAGAAAGCGAGGAGAGAGAGAGGCAAGACAAGGCCAAGAGAGAGCAAGAAGAGAAAGAAAGACAGGAGAAAGAAACAGAGAAGAGAAAAAGAGAGGAGCUUGAAGUAAUGGAGAGUGAGAUGCAAAACGAAACACAGAUGUUGCGUGCACGAAGAGCAUCCCUGCCCUUAAAAAAAAGAAAACUUUUCGAUGUACCUAAGGCCCCACAACACGUGAUGUCACCAAUCUCAGGAGCCUCUCCAGAACCGCUAGAAAAGAAGGCGAAAGAUUUGAAAAAAUUACCAUACCCAACUGUAAGGUCACGGCACGGAGCGAAGAGAAAUAGUGGGAAGGAAAGCACCGAUUCCCAGAAGGCUGACCGCGAAGACUCUCCAGAUCCGCUAAAAAAGAAGGCGAAAGAAGUGAAAAAAGCAUCAUGCUCAUCUGUAAGGCCACGGCGGAAAGCAAGAAAAAAUAGUGAAAAGGAAAACACUGAUUCCUAGGAGGCUGACCGCGAAGACUCUUCAGGUACGCUAAAGAGGAAAGCGAAUCAGCGUUGCUCAACUCAAAGCUCACAAAGAAAAAAGAACAAAAUUAAUGAAGAGGAAACUGAAAAGCCUCAAAACGGCCUAGCAGCACCCAAGGAGUUGAAAAGGCAACUGGAAAAGAUUGCAGCGGCCGAGAGUUACGACGAUCUCCUUAAUUUAUGUCAGAUGGCGCUGAAGAUAACCCCUGACCAUUGUAGCAGUAGCUCUUAUUCAGAGUCGGACUUCUUCACCAAUUGUCCCCGUUGUUUUGUGCCCAUUAUACUGAAAAGGCCGAAGGGAAUGGGGAAACCUCGCUUUCCGACAUGUCCGUGCUUCAACGAGGUGACCAAGACGGAGAGGCGGAGUUGCCCCGUUGUCCACCACCUGCUGAAUGGUUUUACACCCAUUCAUUUCGAAAGCCUUCGGACAAUACUACGACUGUCGCCAGAAGCUGAGAGAAAGGACAUAAUGGACCUACUCUCAAAAAGGGACGUGAUGAUUAUGAAGAGUGGUGUCUAUGAUGGGAGAACCGUGUCAUUUAAUGAAGAAAACCUCAUGGUAAGU